CCCGAUGGAGGGGGAUAACUACUGGAAACGGUAGCUAAUACCGCAUAACGUCGCAAGACCAAAGAGGGGGACCUUCGGGCCUCUUGCCAUCGGAUGUGCCCAGAUGGGAUUAGCUAGUAGGUGGGGUAACGGCUCACCUAGGCGACGAUCCCUAGCUGGUCUGAGAGGAUGACCAGCCACACUGGAACUGAGACACGGUCCAG
rnacentral:rRNA from 1 species